AGCUGACCAGGUGUGCAGACAAGGGCAGUGUUUUUGAUACAGGUUUCUUGGAACUCAGCAAGGCUUUCAACAUGUGGACGAUACGAAGAGGGUUGAUUAUCCUGAUCACAAAGAUGGGGAAGAUAUUGAAAUGAAAGCUGCAGAUGUACCAACCAAGAAUUUGGAAUAUAAUGAGGAAACAAUGAAGCUUGUGCUUCCUUCUGGUAUCGGCCAUCUGGACAGACCCCGCAGAGGGAGGGCAUGACAUCGUGCUACACGAGUGGGUGCUUGUGAAGAAGGUCCACAAGGAACCAUUAGAUGCGAAGUGGGAGGGAUCAUAACAAGCACUACUGAUCACCCAGUUAGCUGUCAAGGUCCAGGGAAAGAAAGCCUGGAUUCAUGCCUCCCAUAUCAAAUGGACAUUUUGCGAAACAGGAGAAGUAGACAAUAAAUAA